AACAAUUCAUAUUAAUAAUGGAAAAAAUAACAAUCAAACAUCAAUAUCAUGGCUAACCACAACCCGGGAUGAAGGGACAUAGCCACGCAUAAUCAUCAUAAUAAAUUCACAAGCAUUUGAAUGAUCAAAGUACUAAGAAAAGACGAAUGGCAGAAGAACUCUCUAAUUUUUGCUCCAACUUUGUUCCCAAUGUGUGUUUUGCCUCAAAACUGUCAUGUUACCCUCAAAAUUAGGUUUAGAAAUUCUUUUAUGCAAGUUAGGGGUGUGUAGGAUCGAAAGAACCCUCUCCCAGUCAAAAUAGGAUAGUUCCCGUACAGAGGGCCCUGGCAAGUGUGACGCCUAGGCAGAGCGCUGACUUCUUCUUUGCUUCUGACACAUCUUUUCCCAAUGCUACAAGCAACUCCUAGCACUGGUCUGGGCACUAGGCUUGCACUUGUCUAAUUUUCUUCUUUUUUCACUUUAAGUCGUGCACGGUCAUUCUAUUUUGCUCCCAACCAAUUCUUACACAUGAACACCAAAACUAAGUCAACUAAUCACAAUAAAUAUAAAAAAGGUUCAAGUAAAAUGUAAGGUGAUGCACAUACAAAAAUAUAUAUUUACAGGCUUGAAUAUCAAUAUUACACACUUAAAUCCUUGCUUGUCCUCUAGCAACUUAAAACUUUUCUAUCCCAAAAGCAACUCUAAAUACCACUUCACGAGGGAUGAAGUUGGAUUUUCAUUAAGCACAAUACUUCUAUGACUAUGGUUAAUCCUAAUAAUAUUACGCAUGGGCAUGCAUACUGCACACAUUUCUCAACCUCUACUACACAUGCCAAAGUGUAAGUGCGCGAUUUUAAAGCAUUCAAA
rnacentral:lncRNA from 1 species